AGGGCACUGGCAACCGGCAUAGCGUGCGUCUGCGCGAUGCCGGGGGCGAGAUCCAAAACAGAGCGCUAAACAUGUAGAACUGCGCGGAGAAGGCUUGCGGACGCGGGUUCAAUUCCCGCCAGCUCCACCA
rnacentral:tRNA from 1 species